rnacentral:rRNA from 1 species
UACGUAGGGUGCGAGCGUUACUCGGAAUUACUGGGCGUAAAGUGUGCGCAGGCGGCCGAGCAAGUCGAGUGUGAAAGCCCCGGGCUUAACUUGGGAAUUGCGCUCGAAACUACUUGGCUGGAGUGUGGCAGAGGAAGGUGGAAUUCCAGGUGUAGCGGUGAAAUGCGUAGAGAUCUGGAGGAACACCGAUGGCGAAGGCAGCCUUCUGGGCCAACACUGACGCUCAUGCACGAAAGCGUGGGGAGCAAACAGG